CAGCAGCCGCGGUAAGACAGAGGUCCCGAGCGUUGUUCGGAUUCAUUGGGCGUAAAGGGUGUGUAGGAGGCCAGGUAAGUCAGGUGUGAAAUCUCAGAGCUUAACUCUGAGACUGCGCUUGAUACUGCUUGGCUAGAGGAUCGGAGGGGGUAACGGAAUUUAUGGUGUAGCGGUGAAAUGCGUAGAUAUCAGGAGGAACACCGGUGGCGAAGGCGGCUUCCUGGAAGAUACCUGACUCUGAAACACGAAAGCUAGGGGAGCAAAUGGGAUUAGAGACCCCCGUAGUCCAUGUCUCUUAUAA
rnacentral:rRNA from 1 species